rnacentral:rRNA from 1 species
AACGAACGCUGGCGGCAGGCCUAACACAUGCAAGUCGAGCGAAGCCUUCGGGCUUCGCGGCGGACGGGUGAGUAACGCGUGGGAACGUGCCCUUUGCUACGGAAUAGCCCCGGGAAACUGGGAGUAAUACCGUAUGUGCUCUUCGUGGGAAAGAUUUAUCGGCAAAGGAUCGGCCCGCGUUGGAUUAGGUAGUUGGUGGGGUAAUGGCCUACCAAGCCGACGAUCCAUAGCUGGUUUGAGAGGAUGAUCAGCCACACUGGGACUGAGACACGGCCCAGACUCCUACGGGAGGCAGCAUUGGGGAAUCUUAGACAAUGGGGGAAACCCUGAUCUAGCCAUGCCGCGUGAUCGAUGAAGGCCUUAGGGUUGUAAAGAUCUUUCAGUGGGGAAGAUAAUGACUGUACCCACAGAAGAAGCCCCGGCUAACUCCGUGCCAGCAGCCGCCGUAAGAC